AACGAACGCUGGCGGCAUGCCUAACACAUGCAAGUCGAACGGGAUCCUAGCUUGCUAGGUGAGAGUGGCGGACGGGUGAGUAACACGUGGGAAUCUGCCUUUUGGUUCGGGAUAACCGCGGGAAACUGCGGCUAAUACCGAAUGCCCUCGUGAGAGGAAAGAUUUAUCGCCAGAAGAGGAGCCCGCGUCCGAUUAGGUAGUUGGUGGGGUAAAGGCCUACCAAGCCGACGAUCGGUAGCUGGUCUGAGAGGAUGAUCAGCCACACUGGGACUGAGAUACGGCCCAGACUCCUACGGGAGGCAGCAGUGGGGAAUAUUGGACAAUGGGGGCAACCCUGAUCCAGCAAUGCCGCGUGAGUGAUGAAGGCCUUAGGGUUGUAAAGCUCUUUUGCCAGGGAAGAUGAUGACUGUACCUGGAGAAUAAGCCCCGGCUAACUUCGUGCCAGCAGCCGCGGUAU
rnacentral:rRNA from 1 species